GACGAACGCUGGCGGCGGGCUUAACACAUGCAAGUCGAACGGAAAGGCCCUGCUUUUGUGGGGUGCUCAGUUGCCGAACGGGUUAGCAACACUUGAGUAACCUACCCUUGACUUAGUGAGAACAUCAGGGAACUGGGGCUAAUACCGGAUAGGAGCUCCUGCUGCAUGGUGGGGGUUGUAAAGUUGCGGCGGUUGGGGAUGGUGUCGCGGCUUAUCAGCUUGUUGGUGGGGUAGUGGCUUGGCAAGGCAUUGCCGGGGAGCCGGCCUGAGAGGGUGACCGGACCAACUGGGACUGGACUACGGCACAGACUACUAUGGGAGGCAGCGGAGGGGAAUAUAGCACAAGGGGAGGAAGCCAGCUGUAGCAAAGCCGCGUGGGGGAUGAGGGCAUUCGGGUUGUAAUCCGAUUUCGCCUGUGACGAAGAGUGAGUGACGGUAACGGGUAAAGAAGCCCCGGCUAACUACGUG
rnacentral:rRNA from 1 species